GCCCGCAUGGCCAAGUGGUAAGGCGCGUCACUCGUAAUGACGAGAUCGUGUGUUCAAAUCACACUGUGGGCA